UACGUAGGGAGCGAGCGUUAUCCGGAUUCAUUGGGCGUAAAGCGCGCGUAGGCGGCUCGCCAAGCGGGGUCUCAAACCCGGGGGCUCAACCUCCGGCCCGACCCCGAACCGGCGGGCUCGAGUUCGGUAGAGGAAGACGGAAUUCCCGGUGUAGCGGUGAAAUGCGCAGAUAUCGGGAAGAACACCGAUGGCGAAGGCAGUCUUCUGGGCCGACACUGACGCUGAGGUGCGAAAGCUAGGGGAGCGAACAGG
rnacentral:rRNA from 1 species